rnacentral:tRNA from 1 species
GCCGCUUUAGCUCAAUUGGGAGAGCGUUCGACUGAAGCCAGUCAUUGAUAUUAUCGAAAGGUCGCCCGUUCGAUCCGGGCAAGCGGCA